UCCCUUGGUUCUCCUUUUACUCUUGACACUCAUUUUUAAGGUACGAACACCUUCUGGAAAACGUCUCCGAACGACAUUGGUUUAUUUUUCAUUCUUUUUUUUGCCAUGUCAUUGACACUCGAGUAGAAACACGUAGCACUCUUAUCAUCAAACACACAAUAGUCUCACAAGAAACUGCCAGAAUGACAAUCAAACGGGCGGGGGUGAUAAAAAAGAAAACCUAUAUCGCUGUUGUCGCAGUGGAAAAAUGUCGUUUAGUGCGAAAGAACAAGGUGUAAAGUUUAGUUUGUAUGUGUCUCUCAACUCUUGUUCCCUGUUGGAGCACAUAUAGCCUAUAAAAGCGAUCGCCGGGGCGGAGUUAUUGCUGCGCACGUAUCCGUUUCGUUCAAUGGCCAGGUAGAAAAGUGCUCUAUCAAGUUUUAUUCCUUUCCAAAGAGGGCUUAGUAGAGGACGCUUUUGCAUCGCCUUUAAAGUUAUCGGUAGUCGCUGAUUGCAUAAUCAUGUGCGCUUGUUUCGUGCCCGGUUGCACAACUCGGGCUGAAACGAUGGAAAUGGAAAAUCGGAUCUUGUUUUCAUUCCCGAAAGAUGAAAACCGACUCUUGGCUUGGAAGAGGGCGCUACCUAUAGACGCCGUCGUCACCAAAUCAUCUAAAGUGUGCGACCUCCAUUUCGACGAUGACGCCAUCAUCAAAAGUCGAGUGUCAACGGUAGACGGAAAACAGACGACUAUCGCCGUUCGUCCGGUGCUCAAACCCGGAGCAAUUCCCACAAGAUUUCAGAGUAUCAUUUACUUGUGAAAAAAUUGUACAUUUUUUUCCAUCAAGGUGGUUUCAUUAUCGUGUUAGGCGCAUUCUUGUCGAAUAUUAAAUCUUUCUAGUCAACAUCAAUACUUUUCGUCCCCCCUUAAUCCCUUAUGUCACGACGCUUGGUUUAUGCAUGGCCAUAUUGCGUGUGCUUUUCGCAUGCAAUCAAAUUACAGCUCGGGUAGUUGUGUGUGUGUGUAGUUGGUUAACCUCGUUAGUCUUGUCUCUACACCAAGAUUGACAGAGAACAACGUGUGCCAUUAAUGUGGCUCCCUCCUUGUUUACCGCCAGCAGCGCGUUCCAAUAAAGCAACUUUUGGGAAGACAUGACAUGCCGUUCCCGCGAACACUCUGUAAUCAACUUUCUACGUCGUGGAAACUUUUACCCAAUACACAUUAAAGAGCCCUUCGA